rnacentral:rRNA from 1 species
GAGUUUGAUCCUGGUUCAGGACGAACGCUGGCGGCGUGCUUAACACAUGCAAGUCUACGAGAAAAAGGUAGCAAUAUCUUAAUUAAAGUGGCGCACGGGUGAGUAACACGUGAGCAAUCUACCCUUGGAUUUGGAAUAACUCGUCGAAAGACGUGCUAAUACCGAAUGACACGAGAGUAUCGCAUGAUACCUUCGUUAAAGUUGCAGCAAUGUAACGUCCGAGGAUGAGCUUGCGUCUGAUUAGCUAGUUGGUAGGGUAACGGCCUACCAAGGCAACGAUCAGUAGCUGGUCUGAGAGGAUGAUCAGCCACACUGGAACUGAGACACGGUCCAGACUCCUACGGGAGGCAGCAGUGAGGAAUAUUGGGCAAUGCCCGCAAGGGUGACCCAGCAACGCCGCGUGGAGGAUGAAAGCCGUAAGGUUGUAAACUCCUGUGAGAGGGGACGAAUGAUUACGUAUCGUAAGGUGCGUAAAGUGACUGUACCCUCAGAGGAAGCCCCGGCUAACUACGUGCCAGCAGCCGCGGUAAUACGUAGGGGGCAAGCGUUGUCCGGAUUUACUGGGUGUAAAGGGCGCGUAGGCGGGUUGAUAAGUUAGAGGUGAAAUCCUGCAGCUUAACUGCAGAACUGCCCCUAAUACUGUCAAUCUUGAGUUCAGAAGAGAGAAGCGGAAUUCCAGGUGUAGUGGUGAAAUACGUAGAUAUCUGGAAGACACCAGUUGCGAAGGCGGCUUCUUGGUCUGACACUGACGCUGAGUGCGAAAGCGUGGGGAGCAAACAGGAUUAGAGACCCUGGUAGUCCACGCUGUAAACGAUGAAUACUAGAU